rnacentral:rRNA from 1 species
AGUGAACGCUGGCGGUAUGCCUAACUCAUGCAAGUCGAACGAGUGGCGGACGGGGGAGGAAUACUUCGGUAUCUUCUCUGUUUUGGGCGCUAACGUAGGGAAACCUACGCUAAUACCGCAUACGAUUGAAUGAGCCGCUGUCGGAUUAGCUAGUUGGCGGGGUAAAGGCCCACCAAGGCGACGAUCCGUAGCUGGGCUGAGAGGAUGAUUAGCCACACUGGAACGGAGAGACGGUCCAGACUCCUACGGGAGGCAGCAGUGGGGAAUAUUGGACAAUGGGCGCAAGCCUGAUCCAGCCAUACCGCGUGGGUGAGGAAGGCCUUCGGGGUGUAAAGCCCUUUUGUUGGGAAAGCGGUACCAAAAGAAUAAGCACCGGCUAACUUCGUGCCAGCAGCCGCGGUAAUUC